rnacentral:rRNA from 1 species
CCUACGGGUGGCAGCAGUGGGGAAUAUUGGACAAUGGGGGGAACCCUGAUCCAGCCAUGCCGCGUGUGUGAAGAAGGCCCUCGGGUUGUAAAGCACUUUCAGUGAGGAAGAACGCCUGGUGGUUAAUACCCAUCAGGAAAGACAUCACUCACAGAAGAAGCACCGGCUAACUCCGUGCCAGCAGCCGCGGUAAUACGGAGGGUGCGAGCGUUAAUCGGAAUUACUGGGCGUAAAGCGCGCGUAGGUGGCUUGAUAAGCCGGUUGUGAAAGCCCCGGGCUCAACCUGGGAACGGCAUCCGGAACUGUCAAGCUAGAGUUCAGGAGAGGAAGGUAGAAUUCCCGGUGUAGCGGUGAAAUGCGUAGAGAUCGGGAGGAAUACCAGUGGCGAAGGCGGCCUUCUGGACUGACACUGACACUGAGGUGCGAAAGCGUGGGUAGCAAACAGGAUUAGAUACCCCGGUAGUC